CAGACAGCAAAUGGUCGAGGUGAUUCUCCCCUGGGAGCCUGAGCCAGUAUCUCCACCUUUCUGUGCCUGGGUUUUCCCUACUUGGCAGGUAGGGGUGAAAAUGUCACCCCGCCUCAUAACCCUGAGGGUUACAUGAGCUAACCUCCCAAAACCACUGUGAGUCUGACAGGAAGUGAAGCACUCCGCGUGUUUUGUGACUGUGACUGUGUUUCUUUGACUUCCAUCGAACAUCUGCCUUCAACUCCACAAAGUAAGCGAGCAAACACACACGCUUUCAUUAAGCCUUCUUCUUUUUUUGUCUUUUCAUGGCCUAGUUAGUAUAUGAAUGCAGCCUCCUAAUUCAAAAAGCUUCAGCCAUACCGUGGCAGUGGGUUGCAGUGGACCCCAAAACGUCACAGUCACCUGGAACCCGGAUAUGACUUACUUGGAAAUAGUGCCAUCAAAGGUAGGAUUGAUUGGAGAUCUCAAGAUGAAAUCAUUCUGAUUUAGAGUGCCCUAAAUUCAGCAGGACACGAGGACUCCCGGGGAGGAAGGCCUUGUGACAGCAGGAGAGAACUGGCUGCCACCAGCCGGGGAAGAUCUGGGCCACCAGGAGCCUGAUGGGCAGGAAGGAUUCUUUCCGAGAGCCUUUGGAGACAGCGUAAACCUGCCAGUAGCCUAAUGCUUGACUUCUGGCCUCCAGAACAAUGGGAAUGAAUCAGUUCCUGUUGCUUCCAGCCACCUAUUUUGGGAUGAUUUGCUCCGGCUAGGAAAUCAUCAAAGCCCUUUCUCCCCCAUGGGCAAUGCCUCUAAUUUACAGUUAAUACAAGGGGAAGCAACACAACUCAAAAGAAUAGCAGUACCAAGCCGUAUGAAGACAUCCAGACCCAAAUCCAGGAGAAAGUCUGACACUUCGGUCCUAACACUCUGAGUUUGAGAGAAGAGCAAAUCUCAUGCAAAAUAAGAUGACAAACUGGAUGGUCGCCUUCCACAACCUGGAUGCUGAUCUGAUUAAGGAGACACAUUCAAUGGCACUUUCCUGUGUCAGCUGGAAAAAAGGUACAAGUCUAACGUUUUUAAGAAGUGCAUGGAACCAUCAAGACCUGAUGAGAAGCAGCACCAAAUAAAGGCUUUUCUGGUGCAAAGCAAAGGUCAGCAGCGUUUUACGGACAAAGACAGGGAACAAUCUUGGUUUCUUAGGCAAGGCGGCCCCAUGAGAAAAUCCUUCGGUAUAUUAAAUGUGAUCUGCUUUUGCAGAGCCCAAAGGGCUCCUUCUCGCUGCCUUCACUCACCCCCACCAGGUACCAUCCAUGCCCAGUAGCGGGUCCCUCUUGGUGGCCUCUGGGUAGGCUACGACUCUCUGACAAGUCUGUCUCUUUUGCCCUUUUAUCCUAACCCUUUCCGGUCACGUGAGGCUUCUUUCGACUUUUGUCUCUUUCUCCUCUUCAUUCCGCUCCCUCUCGCAUGUGAAUAAGAGGAGCGGUUUCUCCUUCAUCUUCUCUCCCUCUACGUGCUUCUUGUCAUCACCCCCAACACCGCCACCCCGUGCCUCUUUGAUCAGCACCUGGCGUGUUUUAGCUAUUGCCACUAUUGUCUCCAAAUGCGCACGUCUAUGAUCCAUCAGAGCUCCAGUCGAAUAAAUUCUCAAUCUUCCUCGGAGCCUUCCCAGAUUUUUUCCAACCUGAUGUAAUACUUCUUGGUUAUUAACUUGGGCUCUCACGGUACUCAUUAUAUUCUUUGGGAAAGCAUUGUUUACUGAGCUACAUACGACAAGUAUUGGGCUCCAUGCCUUAUGUGUAGUAUCUCCUUUGUCCUUGAAAAGUCCGUAUUACUCCAUCUAUCCUGUGAGGAAACCAAAACACCCAGAAGAUAAGCUACUUUUUCAGACUCAUCAAGCAAAUAUAAUUAAGCUCAUUUGACUUUUUGUGGCCCUUCUCCAUCAAAUACCCCCUAAAGGUGAGGUUGGUCUGUCUUAGCUUUCUCUCCCCUGAGGCUCAAAGGAAGAAAGUGAAUGUAAACGCCCAGUGUUGAUUUGAAAUGAAAGUGCCAUUUGCAUGCCAGAUGCUGGUGCUGUGAUUUUUUUUCAAAUAGACAUUUAUAUAACAAUGUAGACUUUACAGUACAUUUCCUUUCCUUUCCUAUUUUAAUGGUACUGGGGAUUGAACCAAACUUACAAUGCAUAUUCACUAAGCUAUCGUGGCAAUCCUGAGAGAUACCUGUUAUCAUCGUCUCCCUUUUUCACAUGAGAAUCAGGGAGGCAGAGAGGUUAAUUGGCUUUCUCCAGUGCAAACUGCCAACAGUAGCAGAGCCAAGACUCAAAUAAAUGCAAUACCUCCUCCAUCCGCUGGCAAUAUACCACUAUUACCUUUUGUCCAGUACUGAGAUUUAACAGAUGGUGUAAUGCAUAGAUGACAAAAUCAACCUUACCUGGGUUUCAAAUCCUGCAGGAAAUGCAAUGGUUACAAGUUAGCAGAAAACUCUGCUGCCAGAGUUCAGUUCUUAUGAAGGGCAAGAGAGAAUCCAGAACCAGACCAAGUGAAAGAAAUCUCUCAAGUGGUUCAGCUCAAGUUGUUCCUUUAAUUGAAAUACAGAUUUAUGUAAAAUAAUGAACCAAAAGAUCUUGAAGAACUCUGAACAUUGGUCUUCCUCGCUCAUAAAGACUUCUGGAAAUUUCUUCCUUCAGAAAGGUCUUUUCUCUUUGUUUGCUUCUUGUGCUACUGAGAAUUAAACCCAGGGCCCUUGCACUGAGAUACAUUUGCAUGCCGUUUCUUUUUUAU